AUCGAACGCUGGCGGCAUGCUUUACACAUGCAAGUCGAACGGUAACAGGCCGCAAGGUGCUGACGAGUGGCGAACGGGUGAGUAAUGCACCGGAACGUGCCCAGUCGCGGGGGAUAACUACUCGAAAGAGUAGCUAAUAUCGCAUACGAUCUAUGGUUGAAAGCGGGGGACCGUAAGGCCUCGCGCGAUUGGAGCGGCCGAUGUCAGAUUAGGUAGUUGGUGGGGUAAAGGCUCACCAAGCCAACGAUCUGUAGCUGGUCUGAGAGGACGACGAGCCACACUGGGACUGAGGCACGGCCCAGACUCCCACGGGAGGCAGCGGUGGAGAAUUUUGGACAAUGGGCGCAAGCCUGAUCCAGCAAUGCCGCGUGCAGGAAGAAGGCCUUCGGGUUGUAAACUGCUUUUGUACGGAACGAAACGGCUCUGGUUAAUACCCGGGGCUAAUGACGGUACCGGAAGAAUAAGCACCGGCUAACUACGUG
rnacentral:rRNA from 1 species